UACGUAGGGGGCUAGCGUUGUCCGGAAUCAUUGGGCGUAAAGAGCGUGUAGGCGGUCCGGUAAGUCCGCUGUGAAAGUCGGGGGCUCAACCCUCGAAUGCCGGUGGAUACUGUCGGGCUACGAGUGCGGAAGAGGCGGAGUGGAAUUCCUGGGUGUAGCGGUGGAAAUGACGGCCAGAUAUCAGGAGGAACACCUAUUGCGAAGGCAGCUCGCUGGGACGUAACUGACGCUGAGACGCGAAAGCGUGGGGAGCAAACACGG
rnacentral:rRNA from 1 species